AGUCACUGACAUUAGAUACCCCCGUAGUCCAGGGUGUAAACGCUGCAGACUUGGUGUUGGGAACCCUUCGGGGGUGCUCAGUGCCGGAGAGAAGUUGUUAAGUCUGCUACUUGGGGAGUACGUCCGCAAGGAUGAAACUUAAAGGAAUUGGCGGGGGAGCACCGCAACGGGAGGAGCGUGCGGUUUAAUUGGAUUCAACGCCGGAAAUCUUACCGGGACCGACAGCAACAUGAAGGCCAAGCUGAAGACUUUGCCGGAUUAGCUG
rnacentral:rRNA from 1 species